rnacentral:lncRNA from 1 species
UUGGUGCCUCCUCAUGCCAAGAAAGCUGUUUUUUUAGGGCAAAAGGACCUGUGAGAGGGUCCAGCUCGUUCAUGCUAGGGUUCAUAGGGGUUAAGGUUGGUGCUCUCUCUCGUGUGUAUGUGUGUGUGUGAAAGAAAGAGCACUGACUGAGCCUGAGCACACUGAAAUGUGUGGCCAUUUGGCUACACGAUCUUGACAAAUCUCUUUUGCGGUGGAUUUGAAAGGCUAUGUUUGUAAGGAUGCAUGCAAAGGGGCAGGAGUGCCUUUUGCUUCUCUUACUUUGAGGCCACUACUCCAUCAGCUUGCUGUGUGCGCCCUCUCCUUUUUGUUAGCUAGCCCCUGCUGCCUCUAACAAAAGCUGGCCACCAAAAAGCAACCGAUCGAUAACGAGAGAUCAUAGUUCUAACCGUGGACUCCUACGCACCUAGGGUCGUUAUCUUAAACUCGAUUGAGUAAUAACUACGAAGAUAUCCACGAACAAUCAUAGAAAUCCUUAUGUAUACCCACAUGAGUUGAAACAACAUACUCCAUAUGCAUGAUUCUGGGCUGAAUUGGCAUUUUAAUUUUUCUUUUGUACACGUCAUUUGUUGCGAAGACCAUGCUACUUUUCUUUCUUCAAGAAAUAAUCGAGCAACCCUAUAUAUACUUCAAUUUUUAAAUUUCUGAUCAAUAUGUCCUUUCCCACAAACAUCUCUCUCAACCUCAAGUAGUGCUUUUCUCACAAAUGAUAUUCAAACACUAUCUGGCAUCUAGUCAUCUGUAUAUAUAUGCAUAUUAUAGUAGUAAGUAUUGACAUUUGACCACCAG